rnacentral:rRNA from 1 species
AUGUCUGAUGUCAACAAAAACAGCAUCGUGAACGAAAGCUGCAAAGCGUUUCAAAUGAACGAGGAUGAAGGUGAAAGUUCUGUUGCAUCCGUUGAGGAACAACUUAAGAAAGAAAUGACAGUCUAUGAGAAAUUCAUCAUAGAAAUGUUAACCAACUUCGGCAGUAUGACAAUGGACAAAAUACACAACACUUUGAAGGACGCUCCUGUUGUGAUUACAAGAGGGGACAAAUAUGGAAGGAACCAGAAGGGAAUGCAACACAAUCACAAUGGGAGUGUUGUGGAUGAUAGUGAUGGACGUCAAAGGCGGCACAGUUAA